rnacentral:tRNA from 1 species
UCCCUGGUGGUCCAGUGGCUAAGAUUCUCUACUCCCAGUGCAGGGGACUCAGGUUCGAUCCCUGGUCAGGGAG